rnacentral:misc_RNA from 1 species
GAUGAAGAACGCAGCGAAAUGCGAUAAGUAAUGUGAAUUGCAGAAUUCAGUGAAUCAUCGAAUCUUUGAACGCACAUUGCGCCCCCUGGUAUUCCGGGGGGCAUGCCUGUCCGAGCGUCAUUACAACCCUCAAGCUCUGCUUGGUGUUGGGCCCCGCCGCCCCGGCGGGCCCUAAAGUCGGUGGCGGUGCCAUCCGGCUCCGAGCGUAGUAAUUCUUCUCGCUCUGGAGGUCCGGUUGUGUGCUUGCCAUCAACCCCCAAUUUUUUUCAGGUUGACCUCGGAUCAGGUAGGGAUACCCGCUGAACUUAAGCAUAUCAAUAAGCGGAGGA